rnacentral:rRNA from 1 species
GACGAACGCUGGCGGCGUGCUUAACACAUGCAAGUCGAGCGGUAAGGCCCUUUCGGGGGUACGACGAGCGGCGAACGGGUGAGUAACACGUGGGUGACCUGCCCUCAGCUCUGGGAUAAGCCUGGGAAACCGGGUCUAAUACUGGAUAUGACUCCAUGACGCAUGUUGUGGGGUGGAAAGCCUUGUGCGGCUGAGGAUGGGCCCGCGGCCUAUCAGCUUGUUGGUGGGGUGAUGGCCUACCAAGGCGACGACGGGUAGCCGGCCUGAGAGGGCGACCGGCCACACUGGGACUGAGACACGGCCCAGACUCCUACGGGAGGCAGCAGUGGGGAAUUUUGGGCAAUGGGCGCAAGCCUGACCCAGCAACGCCGCGUGAGGGA